rnacentral:rRNA from 1 species
GAUGAACGCUAGCUACAGGCUUAACACAUGCAAGUCGAGGGGCAGCACAAGGCAGCAAUGCUGAGGUGGCGACCGGCGCACGGGUGCGUAACGCGUAUCCAACCUUCCCGUUACUCUUGGAUAGCCUUCCGAAAGGGAGAUUAAUACAAGAUGGUGUUGAAAUUCCGCAUGUUAUUUCAACUAAAGAUUUAUCGGUAACGGAUGGGGAUGCGUUCCAUUAGCUUGUUGGCGGGGUAACGGCCCCACCAAGGGCUUCGAUGGAUAGGGGUUCUGAGAGGAAGGUCCCCCCANACUGGAACUGAGACACGGUCCAGACUCCUACGGGAGCAGCAGUGAGGAAUAUUGGUCAAUGGUCGGAAGACUGAACCAGCCAAGUAGCGUGAAGGAUGAAGGUUCUAUGGAUUGUAAACUUC